rnacentral:rRNA from 1 species
UAGAGAGUUUGAUCCUGGCUCAGGAUGAACGCUGGCGGCGUGCCUAACACAUGCAAGUCGAACGAAGCAUGACCCUUGAGGCCUUCGGGCGGAGAGGGGCAUGACUUAGUGGCGGACGGGUGAGUAACGCGUGGGUAACCUGCCCUAUACUGGGGGAUAACAGCUAGAAAUGGCUGCUAAUACCGCAUGAGCGCACAGUCCCGCAUGGGACAGUGCGGAAAACUCCGGUGGUAUAGGAUGGACCCGCGUCCGAUCAGCUGGUUGGUGGGGUAACGGCCCACCAAGGCGACGAUCGGUAGCCGACCUGAGAGGGUGACCGGCCACAUUGGGACUGAGACACGGCCCAAACGGUCCUACGGGAAGCAGCAGUGGGGGAUAUUGCACAAUGGGGGGAACCCUGAUGCAGCGACGCCGCGUGAGUGAAGGAGUACUCCGGUAUGUAAAGCUCUAUCAGCAGGGAAGAAGCAAGACGGUACCUGACCAAGAAGCCCCGGCUAACUACGUG